rnacentral:rRNA from 1 species
CCUACGGGAGGCUGCAGUGGGGAAUAUUGCACAAUGGGUGCAAGCCUGAUGCAGCCAUGCCGCGUGUGUGAAGAAGGCCUUCGGGUUGUAAAGCACUUUCAGCGGGGAGGAAGGCGGUGAGGUUAAUAACCUCAUCGAUUGACGUUACCCGCAGAAGAAGCACCGGCUAACUCCGUGCCAGCAGCCGCGGUAAUACGGAGGGUGCAAGCGUUAACCGGAAUUACUGGGCGUAAAGCGCACGCAGGCGGUCUGUCAAGUCGGAUGUGAAAUCCCCGGGCUCAACCUGGGAACUGCAUUCGAAACUGGCAGGCUAGAGUCUUGUAGAGGGGGGUAGAAUUCCAGGUGUAGCGGUGAAAUGCGUAGAGAUCUGGAGGAAUACCGGUGGCGAAGGCGGCCCCCUGGACAAAGACUGACGCUCAGGUGCGAAAGCGUGGGGAGCAAACAGGAUUAGAUACCCGUGUAGUC